GAUGAACGCUGGCGGCGUGCCUAAUACAUGCAAGUCGAGCGAACAGACGAGGAGCUUGCUCCUCUGACGUUAGCGGCGGACGGGUGAGUAACACGUGGAUAACCUACCUAUAAGACUGGGAUAACUUCGGGAAACCGGAGCUAAUACCGGAUAAUAUAUUGAACCGCAUGGUUCAAUAGUGAAAGACGGUUUUGCUGUCACUUAUAGAUGGAUCCGCGCCGCAUUAGCUAGUUGGUAAGGUAACGGCUUACCAAGGCAACGAUGCGUAGCCGACCUGAGAGGGUGAUCGGCCACACUGGAACUGAGACACGGUCCAGACUCCUACGGGAGGCAGCAGUAGGGAAUCUUCCGCAAUGGGCGAAAGCUUGACGGAGCAACGCCGCGUGGGUGAUGAAGGUCUGCGGAUCGUAAAACUCUGUUAUUAGGGAAGAACAAAUGUGUAGGUAACUAUGCACGUCUUGACGGUACCUAAUCAGAAAGCCACGGCUAACUACGUG
rnacentral:rRNA from 1 species